UAGACAACACUUUGAGUUUCA
rnacentral:piRNA from 1 species